rnacentral:rRNA from 1 species
UACAGAGGGUGCAAGCGUUAAUCGGAAUUACUGAGCGUAAAGCGUGCGUAGCCGGUUAUUUAAGUCAGGUGUGAAAGCCCAGGGCUCAACCUUGGAAUUGCAUUUGAGACUGAAUAGCUAGGGUGCGGAAGAGGGAAGCGGAAUUUCCGGUGUAGCGGUGAAAUGCGUAGAUAUCGGAAGGAACACCAGUGGCGAAAGCGGCUUCCUGGUCCAGCACCGACGUUCAGGCACGAAAGCGUGGGGAGCAAACAGG